AAAAAAAACGAAAAACGAGAAAAAAAAACGAAAAAAUGAAAAAUGAAAUAAAUAAAUAAAUAAAUAAAAUAUAACAGAAUUUUUUUGGACUUGGGCCUCUCUCAUUUGAGCCCACAGGUCCACAAAAAUCAGGUUAUAAAUUCAGAGUUUCAGUGAAACAAAAGGAUUCGAUUCCUAUUACCCUGGCAGGAAAAAGAUAGUGAGAGAAGAGAUAACAGAGUUCAGAGAAACCUCCAGAGACUGAAGGGAACUCAUCUGCAAAGAACCAAUUCUCUCUCAUAUAAACCCUAAGAGUGCUUUGCAAACCCAAUCGGGCAAUUCAAUUUCAUUCGAUCUCUCC
rnacentral:lncRNA from 1 species